CAGUUUAUAGUUUAUUAAAAUAUUAAUUUUGGAUAUUAAAGAUGUAUUUACUAAACUGA
rnacentral:tRNA from 1 species